rnacentral:misc_RNA from 1 species
GAUGAAGAACGUAGUGAAAUGCGAUAAGUAAUGUGAAUUGCAGAAUUCAGUGAAUCAUCGAAUCUUUGAACGCACAUUGCGCCCGCCAGUGUUCUGGCGGGCAUGCCUGUUCGAGCGUCAUUACAACCCUCAGGCCCCCGGGCCUGGCGUUGGGGAUCGGCGGAGCCCCCCGUGGGCACACGCCGUCCCCCAAAUACAGUGGCGGUCCCGCCGCAGCUUCCAUCGCGUAGUAGCUAACACCUCGCGACUGGAGAGCGGCGCGGCCACGCCGUAAAACACCCAACUCUUCUGAAGUUGACCUCGAAUCAGGUAGGAAUACCCGCUGAACUUAAGCAUAUCAAUAAGCGGAGGA